rnacentral:rRNA from 1 species
UACAGAGGUCCCAAGCGUUGUUCGGAUUCACUGGGCGUAAAGGGUGCGUAGGUGGCAAGGUAAGUUUGAUGUGAAAUCUCCGGGCUUAACCCGGAAAUGGCAUUGAAUACUAUCUAGCUAGAGGUUUGGAGGGGGGACUGGAAUUCUCGGUGUAGCAGUGAAAUGCGUAGAUAUCGAGAGGAACACCAGUGGCGAAGGCGGCCCGCUGGGCAGUGGCUGACGCUGAGGCGCGACAGCGUGGGGAGCAAACAGG